CUCCCUCCCCCUCCCAAAUUUGAAGCAUCCCUCAAGAACAGACAGUGAGCACAAGAUGCCCAAAUCAAACUCUUGGUCACCAGCCGCGCCCCCAGGCCUCCUCACCUGGGAAAUAUUUUCUACAAAGUGAGGUCUGGAUUUCUUAAAAAUCCUCUUUCAGAGGGAGGGCUACUGGUUUAAUGGAAAGAGAACCAUAAACCUGAUUUUAGUCUCAGCUCUGUGGCUGCCUCACUAGAUGACCUUGGGAUAUAUUACACACACACACACACACCCCCCCAUUCCAGGGCUUCAGUCACACACAUACAAACACACAAAUACACACACACACCCCCAUCCAUUUGCGGGCAAAAAGGGGAUAGACAAGAUGAUUUCUAGGUCUCUUCCAAGUGAAACACUAAAGAAUUUCAAGAAGCCUGCUGGAAAAAACAAACAUGAGUGGACCUUUAAAAAUAUCAUUAAUACUACAUGAAGUUAUCUGUUCUGACUUAAGUGAAACCAGAGCAAGUUGCCUGCAGCCUGCAAUAACCAAGGUGUUUGACCCAUGACACAGGGUUUGAAGAAAAACCAAACCAUUCCUGCCUCUGAUGCUCCUACAAACCCACGGUCCUGCCCAGACCGGCUCUUGAGACCCAAGUGGCCUGCUGACCACUCUACUGUGUUGGGGAGGCCCCUACUUCUUCCCUCCUUGCCUUGUCCAGAAUAAUAAUACAACCUCCCUCAGCUACAUCAAGGCAGAAGUUAAACCUCUGAGCCUCAGUUGUUUUUUUCUGUAAAAUGGUGCUUGUAAAAAUGGUAAAAUGUCUCUGCAGCAACCAUCUUCACCCUUACCCCCAUCCCCACCUCCAGGUCAAUAGAAAGAUAGGUCUACUGGGGAUCUGCCUCACCCAUCAUUCACCAGUCAACAAAUUCUUCUGAAGAACAGGCAGGAAGACAUGACCACCACUUCAUCCCAUGAUAGAACCUUGGUUGCCAGGUUGAUCAGACAAGGGUCCCCAAAGACUAAGUCUAAACCUGGGCCCAGGAACUUCCUAAAACCGUAGGCUACCUUUUGUGGAUGGUGCAGACAUGCACUUCGGGAGAGACAGUCCAUGGUUUCCUCAGAGACUUGAAAGUGCCCAUGAAACCAUUUUGCUCCUCCAGCACAUACGCUCCUCUGUUUUGUGCCCCCAUUGAAUUCAAAUACUCUUGGAUUUUCAGCUCGCAAAACACUGAACUCCACCCUCACACUAUACAGAGCCUUGCAUCGAUACGACGAUCCCCAUUUCAGAGAUGAGGAAAUCCAGGCUCAGGGGUGGCAUGACUUGCCCAAGGUCACAGCUAACAAGUAGAGAAUGAAGACUGGAACCUGAUUCCGAUUCCCAAUCUGGCAUUCUUUGAGGAACUGUCACCCAGGCCCUCUAGCUACCCCACCUGUUGGUGGAUUCCCUUCCUCACCCCAGAACCAAAUCCGAAGCGCUCAUGUUCCUUCUGCCGGGUCCCAGGGCCCUAAAGAGUAGGUUUCCCUACAGCUCCCCACCCCUCCCUCUGGCUGAGGUUGUGCGCAGGCCUGGGAGGAGGAGGUUCAAGCCGCUGGAUGGUGGCCGGCUUCAGCCCACCAACAAAGGCGACUCCAGGGACGAGAGCACCUGAGGUCAGGGGCACACACCAGCGGGCGGACAAGUGUAGAGUUGGCGCCGCCCUACACCUCUCUCUGGGAAGUGAGGGGAGGAAAGGCCGUCACCUGGCCGGUUCCCCUGCGUCUGCCCCAGGCGUAUAAGAAGCAGGAGUCUGGAGUCCCAGCCCCUGAGGAAAGGAGAGGAGAGACAAUUGGGGGCGCUCAAGGCCUCGGGCGCCGGGCAGGGGUCUUGGGCAGGGAUCCUCUGGAUGCGGCCAAGACAAAGAUGGAGAGGCACAACACCGUGGUUCCAAGGAAGCAGAGAAAGGUGGAGAGAAGUUCAGUGGCCAGCCCUGUUUGGAGGUAAAUGUGAGUGAGAGUCCCUGAGUAGCCUUAGAUGAACGAGAAGCAACACCCUUAAGAUAAGUGCCUCCGACUUUCAAAUUCAACUGGGCAAAGGCUGCAUGUAGCCAUCCUGGCCACUGAGCCGUCCUGGUCACAGCAACAAUUCAUUGUUCAGCUGCCAGUUGGAUGCCUUGUUGCUCACUGGUGAUGACAUCAGGUCUCCAGGGAGCACACUGGCUGUCCAUCAGAAGCCUUUUUCUGGCAGCAGUGAGCCAUCUCUGCCUCCUCUCUCUUUUAAAGGGGUGGCUUCUGCCUGGGCAAGGGAACUAGGUUUGGGCCACCUUGAUUCUUUCUUUCCAUUUCAAGUGUAAUUCCACGGAGGUGGAGAAAUUAGAGAAGUACAAGGUAGGUUACUGUGGGUGUUUCUCAAGAUCCCAGCUUCAGCUCACCCCUGACAAUAAAAUCUUGCCAACCAAGACGUGGAUCAAAAUAAAGAUGGAUCUAAAAAUUAAAAUCCGGUGGAUAUAAAAAAAUUUCACUAAAUGUUUCUAGUGGAUCUAAAAAAAUUACAUUUUAAAAAUCUUUGGUAUAUAAAAUUGCUGGUAAAUACUAAACAGGCUUAAAUAUAAAAUGAGGAAAAAUAACUGAGAAUUAUCAGUUAUUUCCAUCUUCCUUACUAAGAAAUACUAAUUUGAUUGAAGCCAUCAAAUGUGCCUAGUUAAAAAAAAAUUCCACAUUUCCUAGCUUCUGUUGCAGCUAGGGGUGGCAUAUAACACAGUUAUGGUCAAUGAAAUACAGACUAGGAAUUCACAGAAAACUUUCCUUUCCUGAUUUAGUCAUUCUCUCCUUUUUCCUGGGUGGAGUAAGAACAUGAUGGCUGGAGCUGCAGCAGCUGUUUUGCAAUCAUAAGGAAAAUCCCAGGAGAAUUACACAGCCCCUUCAACCGUGAUAUCUUUGAAGCACUGAAAUGAUGGAAUUUCCGUCUUGUUGCCCAAGCUGGAGUGCAAUG